CCCCAGCAAGCCAGGAAGGAGGCUGCCAGAGCUCCCUGUAGCAGACCCUCCCUGCAGCAGACCAGACCAUCCAGCACAGCUUUUGCAGUGAGCAACAUGAAGGUUACUUACCUUGCCCUACUUAACACAAAGGAAUCUUUAACUGUCACCACCGGACCCAGCUCUGGACAUUCUGAAUCAUGAUACUGACUACAGUCCUCACACCCUGGAAGCAGACAAGAGAAAGAACAGCAUGGACAUUUAUUUCUCACUGCCAAGUCCUGGUGUCUGCUCAGCCCAAGAGUGCCUCCAAGAGCAACACCUGGCAUACUCCAGUCAAAUACUUUGGAAGCCCCCAGCCAAAUAUGGAUGCAAACCCUGAGCACAACAUCACCUGUGACACUUGUUCCAUUUUCUUCACUGCCAAAAGGUGACUGAUGCUAUAAAAGCAAGGCUUUACAGUCAAAUUCCAAAGCCAAGAUAGUCUUACAGUGCUGAUCCACUAUGGGGAGGAUUGAUGAUUCUUUGGAAUUAGGAAGGCAAUUAUAGUUCUUGACUAGGAUUCCAUAAAAACCUCCCUUGUAUAGCUUCAAAAAGAACUGGACAAGUUCACAGAAGACAGCUAUAGAGAUCUAUUAGCCAUGACAGUUUUAUGGAACCUCCAUAUUCAGAGGAAGCAUACCUCUGAACAGCAAAUACUGGUACAAACAACAGCCACUACCUUUUCACACUGCUUGUGAGCUGUUCAGAGGCAUCUGGUUAGU